rnacentral:rRNA from 1 species
AAACUAACAUGGAUUCCCCUAGUAACGGCGAGUGAACCGGGAAGAGCUCAAAUUUGAAAUCUGGCGUCCUCAGGGCGUCCGAGUUGUAAUCUAUAGAGGCGUUUUCCGUGCCGGACCGUGUCCAAGUUCCUUGGAACAGGAUAUCAAAGAGGGUGACAAUCCCGUACUUGACACGACGACCGGUGCUCUGUGAUACGUCUUCUACGAGUCGAGUUGUUUGGGAAUGCAGCUCAAAAUGGGUGGUGAGUUCCAUCUAAAGCUAAAUAUUGGCGAGAGACCGAUAGCGAACAAGUACCGUGAGGGAAAGAUGAAAAGCACUUUGGAAAGAGAGUUAAACAGUACGUGAAAUUGUUGAAAGGGAAACGAUUGAAGUCAGUCGUGACCGAGAGGCUCAGCCGGUUCUGCCGGUGUAUUCCCCUCGGUCGGGUCAACAUCAGUUUUGUCCGGUGGAUAAGGGCGGUAGGAAGGUGGCACCCUCGGGUGUGUUAUAGCCUGCCGUCGCAUACAUCGGGUGAGACUGAGGAACGCAGCUCGCCUUUAUGGCCGGGGUUCGCCCACGUCCGAGCUUAGGAUGUUGACAUAAUGGCUUUAAACGAC